CCAAACACACUUGAACCCAUCAUCCCCAAACCCACUACCCUCUCUCAUUAAAAUCUCUAAAAUCUAGACCUAGAGGAUGAGAUUUGGGGAGAGAACCAAGCGAUAUAGACCCUUCUCUGAAAAAUAGAAGUAGCAGCGCAAAAAAAAAACCCUGCUCCCUUUUUCUUUCUUCUCUGUUCUCAUCUUCAGCAACAGAACUUCUUCCACAUUCAUUCUCUCCCUUAAAUUCCAUCCAAAUACACAAAUUAUCACAAAAUAAAAAAGAAAAGAGAAAAGAAGGGGCUGAAAACGAAUUUCAGCAUUUCAAAAUCGAGUCCAAAACCUACAAUACUGAAACUUAAAAAAAAGAAUUCUAAAGUCGGUUUUCUGCUUCUUCUUUUCCAAUCUGUUCAUAGAAAAGAAAUGGAGUGAUUUCUUUCCUUUAAAAUCAGAAAAGAACAUGAAUUUCAGCUCCUUCCUCCCUAAUUUCGAUUCUUAAAAAUGAAGCUUGAUUUCUUCGCUUUCUGGGUUUAUGAAAGCUGUUUUGGAGCCGUGGAUGUUGCUUCGCUGAUUUUGCCGUUGCUGUUUGUGUUCCUUAAUACGGGUUGCUGUUUCCUUUCGGUUUUUGCUUCUUUGUACGCGACAAAAGUUGAUGGUAAUUUCUUGCGCAAAUAUUUUUUCGUAGUCGUGCCCUUUCUGCUUGGCAAAGUUAAGAAAAAGUAGGUGGGUAUUGAUAGAUCCAGCAUAUAUGCACAUAUACACAAUCAAUUAUGUUUAAUGUGGUGAUAUGCUAUGUGGGUUUUGAAAUACAUGUGUGUAGUAUGAGCAUUUGGUUGAAGCAGAAAAUACAAGGGUUGGUGAUUUGUUGAAGCUAAAGGGCUAUAAGCUUAAAGCUGUCCAGUUUUGAAAUUAUUAUUACUGUAAUAUGUAUAAUUAGAUGCAAUUAAUUGUAUAUUUGUUCCCUAAUCUCCUAGCUGGGUGGAAAAUGUGGUAAUGAAAGUUAAAAUGGUAGGGGUGCUCAUUAUGUUAUUUCUUCUUUAUGGUUUUAAUUGUUUACUGAGGAAUAAUGUAUACAGAAUCAAUCUAAAGGAGGAUUAAUGUAUACAAAAUUGAGUUGACUUUGAA